CGCGUAGGUGGCGCGAGUAGUCAACGGUGAAAGCCCGGGGCUCAACCCCGGGUCGGCCGUCGAUACUCUCGUGCUUGAGCACUGUAGAGGCAGGUGGAAUUCCGGGUGUAGCGGUGGAAUGCGUAGAGAUCCGGAAGAACACCGGUGGCGAAGGCGGCCUGCUGGGCAGUAGCUGACACUGAGGCGCGACAGCGUGGGGAGCAAACAGGAUUAGAUACCCUGGUAGUCCACGCCGUAAACGAUGGGCACUAGAUGCUUGGGGGAGCGACCCUCUGAGUGUCGUCGCUAACGCAUUAAGUGCCCCGCCUGGGGAGUACGGCCGCAAGGCUGAA
rnacentral:rRNA from 1 species